UACGAAGGGGGCGAGCGUUGUUCGGAUUUACUGGGCGUAAAGGGCGCGUAGGCGGCCUCUUAAGUCGAACGUGAAAUCCCCGGGCUCAACCCGGGAACUGCGUCCGAUACUGGGAGGCUUGAAUCCGGGAGAGGGAUGUGGAAUUCCAGGUGUAGCGGUGAAAUGCGUAGAUAUCUGGAGGAACACCGGUGGCGAAGGCGGCAUCCUGGACCGGUAUUGACGCUGAGGCGCGAAAGCCAGGGGAGCAAACGGG
rnacentral:rRNA from 1 species